CCUACGGGUGGCAGCAGUGAGGAAUAUUGGUCAAUGGGCGUAAGUCUGAACCAGCCAAGUAGCGUGAGGGAUGAAGGUUCUAUGGAUCGUAAACCUCUUUUAUAAGGGAAUAAAGUGCUGGACGUGUCCCGUUUUGUAUGUACCUUAUGAAUAAGGAUCGGCUAACUCCGUGCCAGCAGCCGCGGUAAUACGGAGGAUCCGAGCGUUAUCCGGAUUUAUUGGGUUUAAAGGGUGCGUAGGUGGCCUUUUAAGUCAGCGGUGAAAGUUUGUGGCUCAACCAUAGAAUUGCCGUUGAAACUGGGAGGCUUGAGUAUUUUAGAGGCAGGCGGAAUGCGUGGUGUAGCGGUGAAAUGCUUAGAUAUCACGAAGAACCCCGAUUGCGAAGGCAGUCUGCCAAGCCAUGACUGACGCUGAUGCACGAAAGCGUGGGUAUCAAACAGGAUUAGAUACCCGGGUAGUC
rnacentral:rRNA from 1 species